rnacentral:rRNA from 1 species
GAACGCUAGCGGCAGGCUUAACACAUGCAAGUCGAGGGGCAGCAUGAUGAAACUUCGGGUUUCAUUGAUGGCGACCGGCGCGAAGGGUGCGUAACGCGUGAGCAACUUGCCCUUAUCAGGGGGAUAACCGGUGGAAACGCCGACUAAUACCCCAUAGCAUCACUUUAAGGCAUCUUUUAGUGAUUAAAGAAUUUCGGAUAAGGAUAGGCUCGCGUGACAUUAGCUAGAUGGCGGGGUAACGGCCCACCAUGGCGACGAUGUCUAGGGGUUCUGAGAGGAAGGUCCCCCACACUGGAACUGAGACACGGUCCAGACUCCUACGGGAGGCAGCAGUGAGGAAUAUUGGUCAAUGGUCUGACGACUGAACCAGCCAUGCCGCGUGAAGGUGACGGCCCUAUGGGUCUUAAACUUCUUUUGUAAGGGAGCAAUAAGGUCUACGUGUAGAUUGAUGAGAGUACCUUACGAAUAAGCAUCGGCUAACUCCGUG